AUUGAACGCUGGCGGCAGGCCUAACACAUGCCAGUCGAGCGAGCGGCGGACGGGUGAGUAAUGUAUGGGAAACUGCCCGAUAGAGGGGGCUAACUACUGGAAACGGUGGCUAAUACCGCAUACCAUCGGAUGAACCCAUAUGGGAUUAGCUAGUAGGUGGGGUAAAGGCUCACCUAGGCGACGAUCUCUAGCUGGUCUGAGAGGAUGACCAGCCACACUGGGACUGAGACACGGCCCAGACUCCUACGGGAGGCAGCAGUGGGGAAUAUUGCACAAUGGGCGCAAGCCUGAUGCAGCCAUGCCGCGUGUAUGAAGAAGGCCUUAGGGUUGUAAAGUACUUUCAGCGGGGAGGCGUUACCCGCAGAAGAAGCACCGGCUAACUCCGGGCCAGCAGCCGCGGUAAUAC
rnacentral:rRNA from 1 species